GAUGAAGAACGUAGCGAAAUGCGAUAAGUAAUGUGAAUUGCAGAAUUCAGUGAAUCAUCGAAUCUUUGAACGCACAUUGCGCCCCCUGGUAUUCCGGGGGGCAUGCCUGUCCGAGCGUCAUUACAACCCUCAAGCUCAGCUUGGUGUUGGGCCCCGCCGCCCCGGCGGGCCCUAAAGUCAGUGGCGGUGCCGUCCGGCUCCGAGCGUAGUAAUUCUUCUCGCUCUGGAGGUCCGGUCGUGUGCUCGCCAGCAACCCCAAAUUUUUUUCAGGUUGACCUCGGAUCAGGUAGGGAUACCCGCUGAACUUAAGCAUAUCAAUAGCGGAGGA
rnacentral:misc_RNA from 1 species